rnacentral:rRNA from 1 species
GGGUUGGGCUGUUCGCCCAUUAAAGCGGUACGCGAGCUGGGUUUAGAACGUCGUGAGACAGUUCGGUCCCUAUCCGCUGUGCGCGUAGGAGUCUUGAGAAGGGCUGUCCCUAGUACGAGAGGACCGGGACGGACGAACCUCUGGUGUGCCAGUUGUUCUGCCAAGGGCAUGGCUGGUUGGCUACGUUCGGGAGGGAUAACCGCUGAAAGCAUCUAAGCGGGAAGCCUGCUUCGAGAUGAGGACUCCCACCCACUUGAUGGGGUAAGGCUCCCAGUAGACGACUGGGUUGAUAGGCCGGAUCUGGAAGCACGGUAACGUGUGGAGGUGACCGGUACUAAUAGGCCGAGGGCUUGUCCUCAGUUG